GACGAACGCUGGCGGCGUGCUUAACACAUGCAAGUCGAACGGAAAGGCCCUGCUUUUGUGGGGUGCUCGAGUGGCGAACGGGUGAGUAACACGUGAGUAACCUGCCCUUGACUUUGGGAUAACUUCAGGAAACUGGGGCUAAUACCGGAUAGGAGCUCCUGCUGCAUGGUGGGGGUUGGAAAGUUUCGGCGGUUGGGGAUGGACUAGCGGCUUAUCAGCUUGUUGGUGGGGUAGUGGCUUACCAAGGCUUUGACGGGUAGCCGGCCUGGGAGGGUGACCGGCCACAUUGGGACUGGGAUACGGCCCAGACUCCUACGGGAGGCAGCAGUGGGAAAUAUUGCAAAAUGGGCGGAAGCCGGAUGCAGCAACGCCGCGUGCGGGAUGACGGCCUUCGGGUUGUAAACCGCUUUCGCCUGUGACGAAGCGUGAGUGACGGUAAUGGGUAAAGAAGCACCGGCUAACUACGUG
rnacentral:rRNA from 1 species